rnacentral:rRNA from 1 species
UACGAAAGGGGCUAGCGUUGUUCGGAAUUACUGGGCGUAAAGCGCGCGCAGGCGGCUUGGCAAGUGAGGCGUGAAAGUCCUGGGCUCAACCUGGGGACGGCGCUUCAGACUGUCAGGCUUGAGUCCGGAAGAGGGUGGUGGAAUUCCGAGUGUAGAGGUGAAAUUCGUAGAUAUUCGGAGGAACACCGGUGGCGAAGGCGGCCACCUGGUCCGGUACUGACGCUCAAGCGCGAAAGCGUGGGGAGCAAACAGG